GAGAGACCUUCAGGCCCUACGCACAGCUGUACCCUAUUUUCCUAGAAUAUUGGAUUUCCUAGAUUUCCAGCGCACAAAAACAGGCCAUGGUCACACUCAGACAUUCCGCAAAUUAUCCAGAUCGUGCCGGAGCGCGGACGGGACAAAACCAGCAACCCGCGACCGCAAUCGCGCCCUAAUUCUCCUGCGACUACUUUCGAUCACCAAGAAGUCACCACUUUGUUACCGCGUCUCCCUUUCUUCCUGUUACCUACAAUCUACAAAGCGUAUCCCUUAAGAAGGUAAGGCUUUGUUAUUUUAAAAGUCAUUUUAUUUAACUGGAUACAACAAUUGCCGCACAAAGUGGUUGAUUGAAACAAUUGCGUAAACAUCUAACCAUCUAAUAAAAACUGAAUUCAACAGAAGAUCAAAACAGAAGUUUCAUUAUGCUGAUAUAAUUCUUCCUUAAAAAUUUUCAAUUUUUUAAGUGUUUUAAAAAACAAUUAAAUACGCAAUAUACUGUGAAUGUUUCUUGGCAUGACUUUUUAACAUCAGAAUAAAAUGACGAUCCUAAUUCAUUAUUGCAAUUUGUUAACUCUGCUUAGCCAGUCCCAUCCAUUUUUUAAUAGCAGGAAGAAAAGAAAAAUCGCGAAACUUCCAAUAGUAAUAAUUAAGAGAACAGCAUCACAUGUCGAAGGCACAGAUAUUUCAUUAACGUUAUUAAAUGAUCUGUCGCAAGUUCUCGACGUUGUCUCUCUUUCAGCAGAAGAGCACUUUGAGGGGACUAGCAGAAUUUCAUUAAUCAACCGCGCCGAUAAUGGCGGUGACGUGUCAAACAAUGGUCAGCUUGACAUUGGCCACGCCCCGAUCAGAAUCUAGUAAUUACUCGUAGCUCUCCUAAUUAACCUAGAUUAAAAGUACAUUAAUGUGAUCGAUUAACAAGCGAAUAAGCAAUAAAAGUAUCCAAAUUACAUACUUUUUCGAAGAAGUUUUUGUCUCAAAAUCUAUUUCUUAUAGAACAGCGAUCCGCCCUAUCUUGCUUUUAUUUAAAUUGCCGUUCUUAACACCACAAUUCAGAUGCUUUACAUAAUUAAUUAUAUAACUUUUGACCUAAAAAGUCAAUCGUAAUUUCUGCGAAAAAUUUAUAAGACACGUCGCGACCCAAAAAAUAUUUAAAGACAAUAAUGUAACUUGUAUUGCAUUUAUUUAUCAAGAAAAAAUUUUCAAGCUAUAAAUAUACUAAUGUAUCAUGACGACUGAAUAUUUAUUUCAAACUGCAUAAUCUAAUUUGUCCAAAAUUUUUUUACGCAAGUCUUAGUCGAGGAACUAAAAGAUUAGAAGCCACAGAUUAGACGAAUUAUUUUUUCCACUUUUUUGAUAAAAAAGUUCGAAUUCGUAUCAAACAUGAAUUAAGUAGGAUGAUUAAUAGCGACGUUACAGCGUGGUGCGGUAAAGAAACGUGCUAAACCAGUUAAGAAGACUGAUGUUCGAAUUCGAGCUGGCGUUGCACGUUCACGUUUCUGGACCAGAUCCAAAAAUAAAUUCGCAUGGACGACCACGGAAAUUUUUGUAACGUUUUAAUCAUUUAUUUACCAAACGCUGAAAAAGAAAAAAGAGAAAGAGAAAAAGGGAGCCAAAUGCAUCGCAGCUAUGUACGGUGCCAUCACGCUUGCGUGAUUUCCAGUAAACAAAAUGUUCAUUUUAGUUACGUAAAGUACGACUGUCUACGAUAUCAAUCCGAGACACGAACGAGGCGCGACGUAAUCGCAAACUGACCGGGUAGUCAAUGACCCCACGACCUGGACAUUAUUAGACCGUCUGGACAUCAACCUUGAGCCGAUUUGUCACCCCGUAUUAUCACCCUGACUCAUUCACGGUCUGCUUUGUACGCCGAAUUCAAUUCACGUAGCUGUCGAGUGAUUAACCCUUUAACCGGUUGUGAAUGCUAAGUCGGUCGUCGCAUUUACAAAAGAUUCGGCAAGAAUAUUCGAUUUUCUAGACAAAGAGUGAUCAUUGGUAAUUCAACGCCUGUUCUCUACAGGACGACGUAAAACAGACGCUUUAGAAAACAAAGCGAUAACUUGGUUCUCCUCCAGUUUUUCGAAGGAAUGGUAAAUUGUUUCGUUAAAGAUUUCAGCAAACAUUAUUAUGGAACAACAUUUUAUUACGAAGCGAAACAUUAACGGUCAGAGAGCUUGCAAAAAGUACAAUGGAAGCUUGAAAACAGUCUGUACAGACGGCGGUGCGGCGUGACAAACGGCAGGAACGAGUGUCACGAGCAACGAGUGAUAUACACGUACGUGUGUAUCAUAGAAACGUGCCAUUUGUCUAUUGUAAAGGCAUUGCAAAUUGCUUCUCUGUCUACAACUGAACAAACGUAUUUCUCUCACUCUCUUUCUCUCCCUCUUCUUUCUGCAUUCAUAUUGCACACUUAUGAGCAUCAACCGUAUCAACAUGUCUCUCAAACGUAAUGAAUUAGCUUGCUCUAAGAGGAUUUGCCGCCUCGCGCUCACGCAUUUAGCCUAACUCACUUCAUGCGAACUAAAGUAGAAAUCGCUGGAUAUGACAAGACAGAGACAGAGAGAGAGAGAGAGAGAGAGAGAUGUGAAGAUAAAUAAUUCUACAUAAUUCUGAAACUAGAAAUAAGCCAAGAAAUUGUAUUAAAUUAAUUACAUAAAUUUUUGAUGUGUAAUCUAUCAUUACAUAUAAUAAAGUAAUUUUUAUUUCUCAAAUUUUAUUUAUUUGACAAAAUAGUCAACCCAAACUUCACAAACAAUAAAUCAAUUCUAAUUAAACGAUUACUUUCGUUUAAAAAAAAAAACAUCAGGUAAUUGCGACUUUUCUUAAUUUCUAGAAGCUCCAACUUUCCGCAAUUCGUGUCUUCACUGAUUUAAAGUAUCAACAACGUAAUGAAUUUUCAAGCGAAAUGAAAUCUAUAAGCGCGUUAAAAUUGAUGUCGCGCGGAUUCACGAGGGCUUUAAACGUUCGUAAUGAUACCGCAGUUACCGGCCUACCUGUUGAAGCAACCAAGUAGAAACUAUCAAACGGCAGGUUGUACCCUGCAGGGUUACAACGGUUCGCACGUUGCGAAUUAUGAUCGAAAAUUUAAAAUAAAAA
rnacentral:lncRNA from 1 species